GACGAACGCUGGCGGCGUGCUUAACACAUGCAAGUCGAGCGGAAAGGCCCUUUCGGGGGUACUCGAGCGGCGAACGGGUGAGUAACACGUGAGUAAUCUGCCCUGGACUCUGGGAUAGCCACCGGAAACGGUGAUUAAUACCGGAUAUGACACCUUGCUGCAUGGUGGGGUGUGGAAAGUUUUUUCGGUCCAGGAUGUGCUCGCGGCCUAUCAGCUUGUUGGUGAGGUAAUGGCUCACCAAGGAUUUGACGGGUAGCCGGCCUGAGAGGGUGGCCGGUCACACUGGGACUGAGACACGGCCCAGGCUCCUACGGGAGGCAGCGGGGGGGAAUAUUGGACAGUGGGCGGAAGCCUGAUCCAGCAACGCCGCGUGAGGGAUGACGGCCUUCGGGUUGUAAACCUCUUUCAGUACCGACGAAGCGUGAGUGACGGUAGGUACAGAGGAAGGACCGGCCAACUACGUGCCAGCAGCCGCCGUAAUAC
rnacentral:rRNA from 1 species